rnacentral:rRNA from 1 species
UGUAAACCGCUUUUGUCAGGGAAGAAACGGGUUUCUCUAAUACAGAGACCUAAUGACGGUACCUGAAGAAUAAGCACCGGCUAACUACGUGCCAGCAGCCGCGGUAAUACGUAGGGUGCAAGCGUUAAUCGGAAUUACUGGGCGUAAAGCGUGCGCAGGCGGUUAUGCAAGACAGAGGUGAAAUCCCCGGGCUCAACCUGGGAACUGCCUUUGUGACUGCAUAGCUAGAGUACGGUAGAGGGGGAUGGAAUUCCGCGUGUAGCAGUGAAAUGCGUAGAUAUGCGGAGGAACACCGAUGGCGAAGGCAAUCCCCUGGACCUGUACUGACGCUCAUGCACGAAAGCGUGGGGAGCAAACAGGAUUAGAUACCCUGGUAGUCCACGCCCUAAACGAUGUCAACUGGUUGUUGGGAGGGUUUCUUCUCAGUAACGAAGCUAACGC